UACGUAGGGGGCAAGCGUUGUCCGGAAUCAUUGGGCGUAAAGAGCGUGUAGGCGGUCCGUUAAGUCGGCUGUGAAAGUCCAAGGCUCAACCUUGGGAUGCCGGUCGAUACUGCCGGACUAGAGUUCGGAAGAGGAGAAUGGAAUUCCCGGUGUAGCGGUGAAAUGCGCAGAUAUCGGGAAGAACACCCGUGGCGAAGGCGGUUCUCUGGGACGGUACUGACGCUGAGACGCGAAAGCGUGGGGAGCGAACAGG
rnacentral:rRNA from 1 species